UUAUGCUUUACACAUAUCAAAUUUUAUUAAUUUUUUUUAUGUAUUUGUCAAGCACAAAACAUUUUUAUGCAAAAUUUUCAUGCAUACACUUCCUUCUUGUCGUAACUUGUACACUGCACGUAAUUUUUUAAUUAAAAAAAUGUAUCCUUUUGUUUGCUUUCCUCCACUUCUUCAUCGCACUUGAUCAGCCGUGGAUCUCAGCAUGAUAUUCGUGAAACUUCACCAGAUAGCUACAAUUCACUGGGCAGAAAGCAAAGCUUCAAAGGAUCACAAAAUUUGUACACUGGAGCUAAAGGAAGCCGUACGAGUCCGGGUAGAGAAAUCAGUCCAGAUCCUCAAGUACCUCAUAUUGGACCAAGAUUCCCACCAACAGGAAGGUUAGAUUUAAAACUUUUUAUU